rnacentral:rRNA from 1 species
AUUGAACGCUGGCGGCAGGCCUAACACAUGCAAGUCGAGCGAGCGGCGGACGGGAGAGUAAUGUAUGGGGACUGCCCGCUCGAGGGGGAUAACUACUGGCAACGGUGGCUAAUACCGCAUAAUAUCAGCUCACCCAUAUGGGAUUAGCUAGUAGGUGGGGUACAGGCGCACCUAGGCGACGAUCUCUAGCUGGGAUGAGAGGAGGAUCAGCCACACUGGGAAUGAGACACGGCCCAGACUCCUACGGAGGCAGCAGUGGGGAAUAUUGCACAAUGGGCGUAAGCCUGAUGCAGCCAUGCCGGGUGUAGGAAGAAGGCCUUAGGGUUGUAAAGUACUGUCAGCGGGGAGGCGUUACCCGCAGAAGAAGCACCGGCUAACUCCGUGCCAGCAGCCGCGGUAAUUC